rnacentral:rRNA from 1 species
UACGGAGGGUGCAAGCGUUAUCCGGAUUCACUGGGUUUAAAGGGUGCGUAGGUGGGUUGGUAAGUCAGUGGUGAAAUCCCCGAGCUUAACUUGGGAACUGCCAUUGAUACUAUCUGUCUUGAAUAUCGUGGAGGUUAGCGGAAUAUGUCAUGUAGCGGUGAAAUGCUUAGAUAUGACAUAGAACACCCAUUGCGAAGGCAGCUAACUACACGAUCAUUGACACUGAGGCACGAAAGCGUGGGGAGCAAACAGG